CCUACGGGAGGCAGCAGUAGGGAAUCUUCCGCAAUGGGCGAAAGCCUGACGGAGCAACGCCGCGUGAGUGAUGAAGGUCUUCGGAUCGUAAAACUCUGUUUUUAUGGAAGAACAUACGUGUACGUAACUAUGCACGUCUUGACGGUACCUAUUCAGAAAGCCACGGCUAACUACGUGACAGCAGCCGCGGUAAUACGUAGGUGGCUAGCGGUAUCCGGAAUGAUUGGGCGUAAAGCGCGCGUAGGCGGUUUUUUAAGUCUGAUGUGAAAGCCCACGGCGCAACCGUGGAGGGUCAUUUGAAACUGGAAGACGUGAGUGCAGAAGAGGAAAGUGGAAUUCCAUGUGUAGCGGUGAAAUGCGCAGAGAUAAGGAGGAACACCAGUGGCGAAGGCGGCUCUCUGGACUGUAACUGACGCUGAGGUGCGAAAGUGUGGGGAUCAAACAGGAUUAGAUACCCCUGUAGUC
rnacentral:rRNA from 1 species